ACUCGGGUCGACCACGUGACACGGCCACAUAAUCCCUAAAGUAGAACCCUAGAGAUCAUGUAAGGCCUAGAAGGUACAAAAUUCACAUAAACGCCAAAAUUAAUGAUUAAUGUAAUUAAAUCAAAUCCAACCAAAAUGUACUGAUUAAUUACAUAAUUUCAAAUGUCCAUAAGCAAAAGAUAAAUUAACUUCUAUCUAUCUAGCAGUCAAACUCCAUGCUGAUCUCAUUUCUCGUCCCACCCUAUGGACUCUACAAAUCCAGUGCCUCUGAAAAAGAAAGUAAGAGUAGUAUGAGCUUUUCCAGCCCAGUAAGAAUCCUAACAGCCACAUACAGUAAUAAUAAUAAAAUAAUCAAAGCAUCAAAUAAAUGUCAUGUCAUCUUUUCAAAGGCUCAACAAACAACAAAUAUAUAUAACCAUUUCAUAUACAUAAAUCCUUUUUCACAUUAUGUGAUCCAUUCAUGUAAUACUCUGAUUCUCAAGUUUUCAGACUUUUCACUUCUGGCUUUGGACUAACCAAGAUCAUAACCCAGUUCAAGACUGCACAAAUCCUACGCAUAAGCUCGUGGCAGCUAUCCCACGCGUAAGCCCGUGGAGGCUAUCCUACGCAUAAGCUCGUAGAGGCUAUCCCACGCGUAAGCCCGUGGAGGCUAUCCCACGCAUCAGCUCGUGGCAGCUAUCCUACGCAUAAGCUCGUAGAGGCUAUCUCAUGACAAGGUUAGUCCAACCC
rnacentral:lncRNA from 1 species